UACGUAGGUGGCAAGCGUUGUCCGGAUUUAUUGGGCUUAAAGGGUGCGUAGGCGGCCCUGUAAGUCAGUGCUGAAAUCUCCCAGCUUAACUGGGAGGGUGGCAUUGAUACUGCGGGGCUAGAGUACAGAUGAGGUAGGCGGAAUUGACGGUGUAGCGGUGAAAUGCUUAGAUAUCGUCAAGAACACCUAUAGCGAAGGCAGCUUACUAGGCUGUAACUGACGCUGAGGCACGAAAGUGUGGGGAGCAAACAGG
rnacentral:rRNA from 1 species